GUUGAUAAGGUUAAGUGAAUAAGGGCGCACGGUGGAUGCCUUGGCACUAGGAGCCGAUGAAGGACGGGACUAACACCGAUAUGCUUUGGGGAGCUGUACGUAAGCUAUGAUCCAGAGAUUUCCGAAUGGGGGAACCCAGCAUCUUUUAUAGGAUGUUACGUUUGCGUGAAUACAUAGCGCAUUCGAGGUAGACGCAGAGAACUGAAACAUCUAAGUACCUGCAGGAAGAGAAAGAAAAUUCGAUUCCCUGAGUAGCGGCGAGCGAAACGGGAAAAGCCCAAACCAAUGAGCUUGCUCAUUGGGGUUGUAGGACUCCAAUAUGGUAGUUCUUUCAGAUAGUCGAAUGACUUGGAAAAGUCAGUCAAAGAGGGUAAAAACCCCGUAGAUGAAAUUUGGAAGGCACCUAGGAGGAUCCUGAGUACGGCGGAACACGAGGAAUUCCGUCGGAAUCCGGGAGGACCAUCUCCCAAGGCUAAAUACUCCCUAGUGACCGAUAGUGAACCAGUACCGUGAGGGAAAGGUGAAAAGCACCCCGGAAGGGGAGUGAAAUAGAACCUGAAACCGUGUGCCUACAACAAGUCAAAGCCCGUUAAUGGGUGAUGGCGUGCCUUUUGUAGAAUGAACCGGCGAGUUACGAUUGCAUGCGAGGUUAAGUUGAAGAGACGGAGCCGCAGCGAAAGCGAGUCUGAAUAGGGCGUUUGAGUAUGUAGUCGUAGACCCGAAACCAUGUGAUCUACCCAUGUCCAGGUUGAAGGUGCGGUAAAACGCACUGGAGGACCGAACCCACGUACGUUGAAAAGUGCGGGGAUGAGGUGUGGGUAGCGGAGAAAUUCCAAACGAACUUGGAGAUAGCUGGUUCUCUCCGAAAUAGCUUUAGGGCUAGCCUCGGAAUUGAGAAUGAUGGAGGUAGAGCACUGUUUGGACUAGGGGCCCAUCUCGGGUUACCGAAUUCAGAUAAACUCCGAAUGCCAUUCAUUCAUAUCCGGGAGUCAGACUGUGAGUGAUAAGAUCCAUAGUCGAAAGGGAAACAGCCCAGACCACCAGCUAAGGUCCCAAAAUAUAUGUUAAGUGGAAAAGGAUGUGGGGUUGCACAGACAACUAGGAUGUUGGCUUAGAAGCAGCCACCAUUUAAAGAGUGCGUAAUAGCUCACUAGUCGAGUGACCCUGCGCCGAAAAUGUACCGGGGCUAAACAUAUUACCGAAGCUGUGGAGUACACCUUUAGGUGUAUUGGUAGGAGAGCGUUCUAAGGGCGUUGAAGGCAGAUCGUGAGGACUGCUGGAGCGCUUAGAAGUGAGAAUGCCGGUAUGAGUAGCGAAAGACAGGUGAGAAUCCUGUCCACCGAAUGACUAAGGUUUCCUGGGGAAGGCUCGUCCGCCCAGGGUUAGUCGGGACCUAAGCCGAGGCCGACAGGCGUAGGCGAUGGACAACAGGUUGAUAUUCCUGUACUCGUUGUUUUUGUUUGAGCAAUGGAGGGACGCAGGAGGCUAAGGAAUGCAGACGAUUGGAAAUGUCUGUCUAAGCAGUAAGUCU
rnacentral:rRNA from 1 species